rnacentral:rRNA from 1 species
UUGACCUCGGAUCAGGUAGGGAUACCCGCUGAACUUAAGCAUAUCAAUAAGCGGAGGAAAAGAAACCAACUGGGAUUGCCUCAGUAACUGCGAGUGAAGUGGCAAAAGCUCAAAUUUGAAAUCCGGUACCUCUGGUGCCUGAGUUGUAAUUUGGAGAGACAAAUCUUGCGGAUGGUGCCGGCCUAGGUUCCUUGGAACAGGACAACACAGAGGGUGAGAAUCCCGUGCAUGGCUGGAUUGCUGUCGCGUAAUAGACUGUCUUCGACGAGUCGAGUUGUUUGGGAAUGCAGCUCAAAAUGGGUGGUAAAUGUCAUCUAAAGCUAAAUAUUGGCGAGAGACCGAUAGCGCACAAGUAGAGUGAUCGAAAGAUGAAAAGCACUUUGAAAAGAGAGUCAAAAAGUACGUGAAAUUGCUGAAAGGGAAGCGCUUGAGACCAGACUCGAGUCGUGGUGAUCAGUCGUGCUUCUGUACGGUGCCACUUGCCACGGUUUGGGCCAGCAUCGGUUCCGGCGGUCGGAUAAAAGGUUUGGGAAUGUAGCUUCCUUUGGGGAGUGUUAUAGCCCUCAUCACAAUGCGGCCAGCUGGGAUCGAGGACCGCGCUUUAGGGCUAGGAUGCUGGCGUAAUGGUCUUAAGCGACCCGUCUUGAAACACGGACCAAGGAGUCUAACAUCUAUGCGAGUGUUCGGGUGAAAAACCCUUGCGCGCAAUGAAAGUGAACGGAGGUGGGAACCCGCAAGGGUGCACCAUCGACCGAUCCCGAUGUCUUCGGAAGGAUUUGAGUAGGAGCAUAGCUGUUGGGACCCGAAAGAUGGUGAACUAUGCCUGAAUAGGGUGAAGCCAGAGGAAACUCUGGUGGAGGCUCGCAGCGGUUCUGACGUGCAAAUCGAUCGUCAAAUUUGGGUAUAGGGGCGAAAGACUAAUCGAACCAUCUA